GACUGCAGAAAGCUUAGGAAACAAGGUCAAAGUAAAAGUAUUGUAAAAAGCAAGGUAUCUCUUGCUCAUGUAAUCCAGCAGGCAGAAAGCCAGCGAAGUGGGUGGUCGAAACGCAAAGCAGUUUCCAUUGCUGAAAAGCUUGAACUAGAGAAUCUGAAACUGGAACCAAGAUCAAGGAGCUUACUUUGCUGGAAAGCAUCAAGAGCAACCCGUCAGAAGCUGUCCCGCUUGAAAAUUCGAACUUGAAAACCAAGAGCAUUGCUGAAGUUAGUCUCAUGUGGGAGAUGUCUCUCUUCAAAAUCUCCAAGAUAGUUUUGGGAAUCUCUCAGAGGAUCCAUCCCACUGCCAUUGUAAUUUGUAUUUGCCUGUAUUUGGGCCAGUUUUUUUUUCAUUCUCAUGUUAUAGGGUCCAAUUUCAUAAGGCCAAUCCUUAUUUUCAUUUAGUCUAAUAAAAAGCAUGUAGUUAUAUAUCUAAUGAAGAAAAAUUAGGAAUGUAGUUGAUGUAGUUAUUCCAUUUUAGCGAUAAGAUGUUGUAUAUUUUUCCUUCCAGGCAUAAAUUUGAUGAGAAAUUUAAAUUUAGAUUC